rnacentral:misc_RNA from 1 species
AAGACUAUAGACCUGCGGAGUACCUGCGGAAGGAUCAUUAAUGAAAUCAUAUUCUCCUUUGGAGUUUCUUCUAGCUGAUGCGUCUUUUGGCUGCACGCUGUUGUCACUCUUUAGGGGUUAUAUUUCCACAAACCCUUCUGUGCAUAUUGGGAGGCUUUAUUGUCCUCUCCUAAUUCAUAUACUCUAAUGUUUAAUCAUGUCAUACAAUGUUAAAUACAUUAAACAACUUUCAACAAUGGA